GGGCGCAUAGCUCAGUGGUAGAGCACUGUGUUGACAUCGCAGGGGUCGGAGGUUCGAACCCUCCUGCGCCCACCA
rnacentral:tRNA from 2 species